UGGUUUUGAUGAAGUGAGCCAUGCCUGUGU
rnacentral:piRNA from 1 species